rnacentral:rRNA from 1 species
AUAUCAGUCAUGCAUAGCAUAUCAAUAAGCGGAGGAAAAGAAACUAACAAGGAUUCCCUUAGUAACGGCGAGUGAAGCGGGAAGAGCUCAAAUUUGAAAUCUUCAAGGUUUUACCUUGACGAAUUGUAGUUUAAAGAAGUGUUUUCUGUUGAAGUUUCGGUAAAAGUUCUUUGGAAUAGGACAUCAUAGAGGGUGAGAAUCCCGUAUUUGACCAUUACUUUCAGCUUUGUGAUACACUUUCAAAGAGUCGGAUCGUUUGGGAAUGCAGUCCAAAAUGGGUGGUAAAUUUCAUCUAAAGCUAAAUAUUGGCGAGAGACCGAUAGCGAACAAGUACCGUGAGGGAAAGAUGAAAAGAACUUUGAAAAGAGAGUUAAACAGGUACGUGAAAUUGUCAAAAGGGAAGCGUUUGACACCAGUAUUGUUUUCUCGAAAAUCAAUUAAAAAUGCGUGGAUUUUGUGUUGUAUUGACUUUAUCAGCUUUCUUCACUCUUUUCAUUGUCUUUUUUAAUGCACUUUUCGUUUAACAAGUCAACAUCAGUUUCUUUUGUUGUAAAAGGGUCAUUGGAAGGUGGCUUUCUUUCGGAGAAAGUGUUUAUAGCCUUUGACUUCAUGCAAUCGGAGAGACUUGAGGUCUGCAGCGUAGAUCCUUCGGGGUUAGAUACAUUUGUGCUAAGUUAUAGCUUUUUAUAGACAACUUGUUGACUAUGUUUAGUCUUGUAGCUUACUCGCUUAUGCUAUUUUACCUACGCUUAGGAUGUUGAUCUGUAGUGCGUGCGC